rnacentral:rRNA from 1 species
CAGUAGCCGCGGUAAAACGAAGGGGGCUAGCGUUGUUCGGAAUCACUGGGCGUAAAGGGUGCGUAGGCGGGCAUUUAAGUCAGGGGUGAAAUCCCGAGGCUCAACCUCGGAACUGCCCUUGAUACUGGGUGUCUUGAGUCCGGAAGAGGUGAGUGGAACUGCGAGUGUAGAGGUGAAAUUCGUAGAUAUUCGCAAGAACACCGGUGGCGAAGGCGGCUCACUGGUCCGGAACUGACGCUGAGGCACGACAGCGUGGGGAGCAAACAGGAUUAGAUACCCGCGUAGUCCCUGUCUCUUAUAC